rnacentral:rRNA from 1 species
CGUAGAGGGUAAGACCCCCGUAGCCUAAACAUUGACCGUUCGUUUGAGAGACACCCAAGUAGCACGGGGCCCGAGAAAUCCCGUGUUAAUCUGGCGGGACCACCCGCUAAGCCUAAAUAUUCCCUGGUGACCGAUAGCGGA